CACAAUUCCCAGCUGCGCGCCACACGUUUCCCCUUUUUCGUUCCCUCUCGUUCCCUCUCGUUUUCGUUCUCUCUUGUUUUCUCCGGCCAAUCUAUUUUGGUUUUCCCUCUUCGUUCUCCGGCCAGUCUCACAAAAAAUUAAUUCCCAGCUGCGUCGUUUUCCCUCUUUCGUUUUCUCAUUCCUCUGAAGUCAAUCGUCUGCAUCAUCUUCUCAAUCCAGCUCCUCUCGGCCCUUUCUCCAAAUUUACCACAUUUCCAUGUCUCCCAUCGUCUCCAAUGCCUCCGCGUGUUCUCUGAAAUUCCAGCACCCUCUUCGUAUUCUCUGAAGUUCGAGCAUCCUGAUUCAAGCAUCUCAUGUUCAAGCAUUCUGAUUCUAGAAAUAUUUCUAGUAUUUCGAGAAAUCUAUGGGGUAAAUAGCUAGGUUUCUAUUUUCUUUUCUUCAUUUACUCUUGGUUGCAAUUUUCCUCUUCUGUCCUCCUAUUGAUGUCGAGUAGAAGGUUAUCUAGGUUUGAUUGUAAAGAGUUGGUUGAUUAAAUUUCUUGAUUUCUUUUUAACUAGAAAUUUCUAGAUUUCUUGGUCUCAUUGAUUUGGGUUUAGAUGGAUUCGACGUCCUUAAGAACUAAAGUCGUUCUCUCUGGUUUGUCCCUUCUACCCAUAAGUUCAAACCAGUUGGGUGGGUGAGACUAUAUUUGUAGCAAAAGCUCGCUCACUAACUGAGUAACUGUACUCUUGUGCUGGGUAAACUUAAUUCUUGCACAUGGGUAAACUUACAUUGCACAAAUUCUUGUUUGAUAGGAUGUUCCUACAGUUAACACAUGGGUAAACUUACAUUGGGCAGAUUUUUUCACUGCUUCACUGUUUGAUUGCUUUAAUUAGUUACCUAUCACGUCCGUCAAUUGAACUUUGUUCAUCUUUGUCAUGGGCGGGGUAGGUAAUUCAAUAAUAUGUUGUCUUCUCAAUCUUACCAUGGUUCGUUAAUCUAGUCAUUUAUUCUUUAUUAGAGUGAAGUUAUGGUCCUUUGUUUUCUUUUACUUUUUUUCUCCAUCGAUUAUGUUCUUGGCUUUUGAUCAGAAAUGAAAUUGGUCAUGGUCUCUUGGGGUGUCAAUUGCUUCUAUAAUUGGAUUGGUUAUUGUGGUUAAUUUUUACAAGAUUUUAAAGUACUCCUUCAAUGUUCUAAUUGCUUCUAGAUGCUCAUUGUGUAUUAUCUCAAAUCGUUAUCCUCCAACAUUCGUUAGAUGUGUAUUAUCUAGGUUUUGAAGAUUUUGUGAAGCCCUCACCCAAUUCAAACUUCAGCUGCAAAUAGGUUUACUCCUCCUAAGGACUCUCAUGCAUAGAAGAUGACUGCAUGACAUGCAACUAGUUAUUGAAGUCAAACUAGGGUUUGGUGUGAGCUAGUUGAAGUUGCACAACAAAGGGCAAGAUGGCAUGUCCAAUUUGUGGGGAGCACACACAUUCCCAAUGGUUGUACUAUAGUAAGAAAUUAGUGUAUACGGGACAUAGACGUUUUUUUCCUUCAUCUCAUGCGUAUAGAAGAAAGAAGUCAUGGUUUGAUGGCAAAGUUAAACAACGACAAGCUUCUAGGAUUGCAAAUGGAAAUGAAAUUGAUGCCCAACUUAAAGAUUUCCAAAAUUGUAUUGGAAAAUUCGAGAAGAAAACACGAAAGAGACAAAAAGAGUUGAAUGGAAUGUGGAAGAAACGAUCAAUCUUAUUUGACUUACCAUAUUGGAAGGAACUUGUAUUACAUCACAACUUGGAUGUCAUGCAUGUUGAGAAAAAUGUAUGCGAGAGCAUAAUAGGCACAUUGUUGGAUAUUAAUGGAAAAUCAAAAGAUGGAUACAAUGCUCGAAAAGAUCUGCAAGACAUGAAUAUAUGACAUGACAUACACCCAGAAGAACGCGGGAGUCGAAUAUACCUUCCUCCAACUCUAAACACUUUGUCCAAAUUAGAGAAACAAUUGUUCUGCAAGCAAUUACAUGAGUUGAAAUUACCUGAUGGUUACAGUUCAAGCAUUUCGAACUGUGUGUCAGUGGAGGAAUGCAAAGUAAUAGGAUUAAAAUCUCAUGACUAUCACGUGUUAAUGUAAUAACUUCUACCAGUUGUCAUUAGAGGAAUGCUUCUGAAGGGUCCAAGACAUUCAAUAACAUGAAUGUGUGCAUUCUUUAAUAAAAUUUGCCAACGUGUAAUUGAUCGAGAAUGUAUAUUGGAAACUGAAAAGGAGGUAAUUGAUACAUUGUGCUUCCUCCUUCCUUCUUUGACAUCAUGACUCAUUUAAUCAUUCAUUUGGGGUAUGAAGUUCGUUUAUGUGGAU